rnacentral:rRNA from 1 species
AGUGAACGCUGGCGGUAGGCCUAACACAUGCAAGUCGAACGGCAGCACAGUAAGAGCUUGCUCUUACGGGUGGCGAGUGGCGGACGGGUGAGGAAUACAUCGGAAUCUACUUUUUCGUGGGGGAUAACGUAGGGAAACUUACGCUAAUACCGCAUACGACCUACGGGUGAAAGCAGGGGAUCUUCGGACCUUGCGCGAUUGAAUGAGCCGAUGUCGGAUUAGCUAGUUGGCGGGGUAAAGGCCCACCAAGGCGACGAUCCGUAGCUGGUCUGAGAGGAUGAUCAGCCACACUGGAACUGAGACACGGUCCAGACUCCUACGGGAGGCAGCAGUGGGGAAUAUUGGACAAUGGGCGCAAGCCUGAUCCAGCCAUACCGCGUGGGUGAAGAAGGCCUUCGGGUUGUAAAGCCCUUUGUUGGGAAAGAAAAGCAGCAGGUUAAUACCCCGCUGUUCUGACGGUACCCAAAGAAUAAGUACCGGCUAACUUCGUG